rnacentral:rRNA from 1 species
GACAGAGGAUGCAAGCGUUAUCCGGAAUGAUUGGGCGUAAAGCGUCUGUAGGUGGCUUUUCAAGUCCGCUGUGAAAGUCGGGGGCUCAACCCUCGGAUGCCGGUGGAUACUGUCGGACUAGAGUACGGAAGAGGCGAGUGGAAUUCCUGUGUAGCGGUGAAAUGCGCAGAUAUCAGGAAGAACACCAAUGGCGAAAGCAGCUUUCUGGGACGGUACUGACGCUGAGACGCGAAAGCGUGGGAGCGAACAGG